GACGAACGCUGGCGGCGUGCCUAAUACAUGCAAGUUGAGCGAUGAAGAUUGGUGCUUGCACCAAUUUGAAGAGCAGCGAACGGGUGAGUAACGCGUGGGGAAUCUGCCUUUGAGCGGGGGACAACAUUUGGAAACGAAUGCUAAUACCGCAUAACAACUUUAAACAUAAGUUUUAAGUUUGAAAGAUGCAAUUGCAUCACUCAAAGAUGAUCCCGCGUUGUAUUAGCUAGUUGGUGAGGUAAAGGCUCACCAAGGCGAUGAUACAUAGCCGACCUGAGAGGGUGAUCGGCCACAUUGGGACUGAGACACGGCCCAAACUCCUACGGGAGGCAGCAGGAGGGAAUCUUCGGCAAUGGACGAAAGGCUGACCGAGCAACGCCGCGUGAGGGAAGAAGGUUUUCGGAUCGUAAAACUCUGUUGGUAGAGAAGAACGUUGGUGAGAGUGGAAAGCUCAUCAAGUGACGGUAACUACCCAGAAAGGGACGGCUAACUACGUG
rnacentral:rRNA from 1 species